rnacentral:rRNA from 1 species
UACAGAGGGUGCAAGCGUUUAAUCGGAAUUACUGGGCGUAAAGCGCGCGUAGGUGGUUUGUUAAGUUGAAUGUGAAAUCCCCGGGCUCAACCUGGGAACUGCAUGCAAAACUGGCAAGCUAGAGUAUGGUAGAGGGUGGUGGAAUUUCCUGUGUAGCGGUGAAAUGCGUAGAUAUAGGAAGGAACACCAGUGGCGAAGGCGACCACCUGGACUGAUACUGACACUGAGGUGCGAAAGCGUGGGGAGCAAACAGG